AUGAAGCUCGCUGGUCCACAAAAACCCAAUGUCCAGGAGAGCCAGGAGGGGACUAAGCACAAGCAGAGUAAGAAAUUUAGGAGAGUUCGGCGAGAUGACAAAGGCAUGGGGUCGGUUGGAGUGGGAGAAACUGUUUUGGGUGAGAAGAGAGGAAGGGUGGAUGACAUGGAUGGGAAGGAUAGCAAGAAAGGGAAAUUAGCGGAGGGGGAAGGGGUGAUGCAGGAGACUGCUGAGACACUGGUGUUGGACAACCCUAAUUGCACAUCGGCCGGGCUACUGGAGCAGUCCUGCCGAGCACAAUGA
rnacentral:rRNA from 1 species